GUGGGGAAUCUUCCGCAAUGGACGAAAGUCUGACGGAGCAACGCCGCGUGAGUGAUGAAGGUCUUCGGAUUGUAAAGCUCUGUUAAUCGGGACGAAAGAGCCUAGUGUGAAUAAUGCUAGGAAGUGACGGUACCGGAAUAGAAAGCCACGGCUAACUACGUGCCAGCAGCCGCGGUAAUACGUAGGUGGCAAGCGUUGUCCGGAAUUAUUGGGCGUAAAGCGCGCGCAGGCGGAUCUGCCAGUCUGUCUUAAAAGUUCGGGGCUUAACCCCGUGAUGUGAUGGAAACUACAGAUCUAGAGUAUCGGAGAGGAAAGUGGAAUUCCUAGUGUAGCGGUGAAAUGCGUAGAUAUUAGGAAGAACACCAGUGGCGAAGGCGACUUUCUGGACGAAAACUGACGCUGAGGCGCGAAAGCCAGGGGAGCGAACGGGAUUAGAUACCCUUGUAGUCC
rnacentral:rRNA from 1 species